rnacentral:rRNA from 1 species
UACGUAGGGGGCUAGCGUUGUCCGGAAUCAUUGGGCGUAAAGAGCGUGUAGGCGGCUCGGUAAGUCCGCUGUGAAAGUCGGGGGCUCAACCCUCGAAUGCCGGUGGAUACUGUCGAGCUAGAGUGCGGAAGAGGCGAGUGGAAUUCCUGGUGUAGCGGUGAAAUGCGCAGAUAUCAGGAGGAACACCAAUGGCGAAGGCAGCUCUCUGGGACGGUACUGACACUGAGACGCGAAAGCGUGGGGAGCGAACAGG